GACGGAAGGUGCAAGCGUUGCUCGGAAUUACUGGGCGUAAAGGGCUCGUAGGCGGCCAACUAAGUCAUACGUGAAAUCCCUCAGCUUAACUGGGGAACUGCGUGUGAUACUGGAUGGCUUGGAUUUGGGAGAGGGAUGCGGAAUUCCAGGUGUAGCGGUGAAAUGCGUAGAUAUCUGGAGGAAUACCGGUGGCGAAGGCGGCAUCCUGGACCGAGAUUGACACUGAUGAGCGAAAGCUAGGGGAGCGAAACGGGAGU
rnacentral:rRNA from 1 species